rnacentral:rRNA from 1 species
AGAUCAUCACUGGGUAUAAAGCGUGCGCAGGCGGUUUUGUAAGACAGAGGUGAAAUCCCCGGGCUCAACCUGGGAACUGCCUUUGUGACUGCAAGGCUGGAGUGCGGCAGAGGGGGAUGGAAUUCCGUGUGUAGCAGUGAAAUGCGUAGAUAUGCGGAGGAACACCGAUGGCGAAGGCAAUCCUCUGGGCCUGCACUGACGCUCAUGCACGAAAGCGUGGGGAGCAAACA